rnacentral:rRNA from 1 species
UACGGAGGGUGCAAGCGUUACUCGGAAUCACUGGGCGUAAAGAGCGCGUAGGCGGGAUAGCAAGUCAGAUGUGAAAUCCUAUGGCUUAACCAUAGAACUGCAUUUGAAACUGUUAUUCUAGAGUAUGGGAGAGGUAGGUGGAAUUCUUGGUGUAGGGGUAAAAUGCGUAGAUAUAUGGAAGAACACCAGUGGCGAAGGCGGCCGCCUGGCCUGUUGCUGACGCUGAGGCACGAAAGCGUGGGGAGCAAAUAGG